rnacentral:rRNA from 1 species
AAUUUUUGACUAUGGGGGCAACGCUGAUCCAGCAAUCCCGCGUGUGCGAUGAUGGCCUUUGGGUUGUAAAGCACUUUUGGCAGGGAAGAAAAGGCUCUGGCUAAUACCUGGAGCUGCUGACGAUACCUGCAGAAUAAGCACCGGCUAACUACGUGCCAGAAGCCGCGGUAAUACGUAGGGUGCAAGCGUUAAUCGGAAUUCUUGGGCGUAAAGCGUGCGCAGGCGGUUCGGCAAGAAGGAUGUGAAAUCCCAAGGCUUAACCUUGGAACUGCAUUCUUAACUGCCGGGCUAGAGUAUGUCAGAGGGGGAUAGAAUUCCGCGUGUAGCAGUGAAAUGCGUAGAGAUGCGGAGGAAUACCGAUGGCGAAGGCAGCCCCCUGGGAUAAUACUGACGCUCAUGCACGAAAGCGUGGGGAGCAAAC